rnacentral:lncRNA from 1 species
UCCCCCUCCUCUAAUAGCCCAAAAGAGUUCUUCUCCCAUGGGUUUUCUGUCAAGAACUCUGCCAUUAACGUCGACAAUUUUAGCAUCAAGGACAUUGUCAGCUGCCAGACCAUACUUCCUGAACAAGGUACCAAAUCCACCUCCACUAAUAUGUCCCCCCACACCUAUGGUAGGACAUGACCCCGCUGGAAAUCCAUAAGCCUUACUUUUUUCUGCAAUUCUGUAAUACAACUCUCCAAGAGUAGCACCGGAUUCAACCCAAGCACUCCCAUUCUCUAUGUCAACAUCAAUAGACCGAAGAUUGAAAAGAUCAAUGAUGACAAAAGGAGCUCUGGCUACGUAAGAUUGGCCCUCGUAGUCAUGGCCCCUGCUUCGGAUUCUGAUUAGCACGCCCUUUUCUUGGAGCAAAUUACAGCCGCUUGAACAUGAGAGUCAUGAAGGAGAGUAAUGAUAGCUUCUGGUCUUGAUGUUCCUCUGGUCACGAAUAUGAGGUUUUGUAUGGAAGAUUGCACGGCUGAGAAAUAAGCAGAACUGCGUUUGGUGAUAAUGAUUUGCUAUAGUUAUGCUUUAUGUCGGAAGUAAAACAUUGAAGAAAGCUUUCUACAGCGGAAUUUGAAGUUGCGGACCAAACUAAGUUGAAAAGGAUGAAAAGUAGAGGAAGUAGUUUCAUGUGUAAGGUCACCAUUUUGAUUUCCUCUGCACAUAUGAAAUGCAUAAUAUAUGUACUAUGACUUGGAAAAUUAGUGGAGGUGGAUUGUGUUUGUAUGUUACUAGUGGGAGAAAAACUUUGUUGUAACGGGAUAUAGUUUUGUUAUUUCUGGCCAAUAAUAUUAUGUCAUACGAAAGUAUUAUCACGUAUGUCAUAGUAUUAUUGACUGAGAAUAAAUAAAAAAAAGUAUUAUCCCCAUUUCAUAGAAGUCUUUCUCCAACAAUAGAGGCAUAUCUCAAAAUUUAUGUAAACAGUUUUUUACUGCUAGCUAGUCCAUGGCAUUAUGUCAACUUGUCAAGCGUCUGCUUAAAACAUCUUAGAUUAUAUCUUCUCAAGUCAUAUAGCUAUAAGGUGGAAUUUAUAUAUACUUGCACGACAAAAAUAGCUAUUUUCUUUGCUCUUAAUAAUUCCUUUCCUAGUGUGCAAUGUUGAAAUGGUGAAUGGCCCAGCAUUGACCACCCCAAUUCCAAUCUCUUCUGCCACAUGAAUUGGGUUAUUUUUGUGCCCCACUUUCCAGUCUUCUAACUGGUCAAUGCUUCUUCUUUUUUUGUUACAUUUAUUGCUUGGUUAGCACUAUGAAUGUUUACCAAUAUUUGAUUAGAAGUGCUGUAAUAUUCUUUGAAUAUAUCCACUAAUUUGGAUCACAUGCACUGCGGAAUAUUACUUGGUGGAGGGUUAUUGGAAGCAAAGUUCCACCAAGGACAUGUUGAGGCACGACGGGUUAAAAAAACCUAGAAUCAGGGAAUUUGGUUUGGUUCUGGAAAAUUAAUUGGUCAGUUUAGGUGAAUAAGGAGUACGGACAAAUAUAGCUAGUUGCUAAAAUUUCUGUCUUGGUCGACUGUUCAGAGCAAGCUUUUUUGCUACCUCUAUUUGGUUGGGCCUUAAGAAGUUGUUGCCUCAAAUCCUGGAGAACUCUCAAUGGGUAAUUGGCAAUGGUUCUCAAAUUGAUUUUUGGACUGAUACUUGGAUUUGCGAUUCUUUGAUGCAUUUGUUAGGCAUUCCUCCCUAAGUGGCUUUCACUUUUCAUGCUAAAGUUGCUGAUUUUAUUAAUAAUUGUCGUUGGGAUUUGCCUGUGAAUUUUGUAAGGGCCUUUUCGCAUUUGGCAGCUUCUAUGGAGGCUAUUGAUUUGCCUAUUGAGCCGUAUGCUGAUCAACUUAUUUGGACUGGUGCUAUGUCUGACAUUUUAUCAGCGAAAGAAGCAUAUUUGUGGCUUUCUUCUCAUAAUGUCUCCGUGCAAUUCUGUAACUUGGUCAUUUUAGGUGAAUAAUGAGUAUGGACAAAUAGCUAGUUGCUAAAAUUUCUGUAACUUGGUCGAUUGUUCAUAGCAACCCAUUAUCAAAUUAGUUGCUUUUUUGCUGCCCAUGUGCUCGUAUAAUAUAACCUUCUUCAAAUAACGAGAAAAAACUCUGUGAGGUAUUUCAUCAAACACCUUGUUCGUAUAUGAAUGCAAAUGCAACUUAAGUAAAGGUUAGGCCUUUCUUAAUUGGUUUGUCCCCAUGUGAUGAAAUGAUGAAAUGAAAUGAACACUAUCAUAAUACAAAGAAAAUGAUGAAAUGAACACUAUCAGAAUUUAGAAGAGUGCUUCUGAAAUUUGGUUUUCAUUUUCACUGUUUUGGUAAGACAGAGUUUUGAAGAAAGUUCCAAACUUUAUUCAUUGUUGGCAAUUGGGAUUGCUAAUAUUAUCAUGUACUCAUUGUUGAAACUCUAGUUCUUCCUAGAUAGGCACACUGGGAUGCUUUGUUCAUCCCUGAAGAAAUUACCAGGAUCAACUAAGCUCUUAACAUGAACAAGUCUCCUAAAGUUGUUCUUGAAAUACUUCAGACCCCAGAUGCUUGCUUCUGCAUAGCUUGUAUGAACAUCCUUGUUCCUCCCCAAGUCAAGAUCCUUAUAAUUCAAAUAGGCAGCUCUUGGGAACUUUGAAACAUAUGGUGCCAUGUAGUCAUACAGCUUUCUCAUCAAGCCAAUAUAUUUCUCAGUUUCCCUGUAAUCAUUCCAAGUGACCAUAUACUGGAUUUUGAAUAGAUUUCCACUUCUGUGUGGGAAAGGAAUUUCUGAAUUGGAAAUCUCACUCAUUUUUCCACCAUAAGGUGUCAAUAUCAGGUAAGCCCCCACUUCAAUUAGUGUUUGCCAUAAACCUUUCAAGCCAGCUUCUGAAAUAGGUUGAGUCACAUAGUCUGAUUUCGCUUUGAAGAAGCUCUUAGAUUUUAUAGUCCUACUUAGCAAAGCUUCUGAUUCGUUUCUUGGGAUGUAAUCAAAGUAAAGAACAGACUCAAUCCAACUCAUUUCAGUGCAAUCGCUGCGGUCAACACUUAACUCUGGAAAAUUGUCCUGCAUCAAAAGGAGAAGUUUCUCCACCGGCCCAAGAAACAAUGAACCGAAUUCAAUUACAAUAGUUUUGCCACCAUUUGUGCCAGCUUUAUUUCCAACACCUAUGACUGUAUGUAGGAAAAGGUCUUCAUGAAGCUUAUCCGCAAUGUUUUGCCAUUUAGAAAAAAGUUUGGUUGCCCCUUGUUCUGCGGUCUUUGAAAAUCUGAAAACUGUAACAGAUGGAGGAACAGGAACCAGUCUAAGUUUCCAUGCCAGAAUGACUCCAAAGCUUGAGCCUCCCCCUCCUCUAAUAGCCCAAAAGAGUUCUUCUCCCAUGGAUUUUCUGUCAAGAAUUCUGCCAUUAACGUCGACAAUUUUAGCAUCAAGGACAUUGUCAGCUGCCAGACCAUACUUCCUAAACAAGGUACCGAAUCCACCUCCACUAAUAUGUCCCCCCACACCUAUGGUAGGACAUGACCCUGCUGGAAAUCCAUAAGCCUUACUUUUUUCUGCGGUUCUGUAAUACAACUCUCCAAGAGUAGCACCGGAUUCAACCCAAGCACUCUCAUUUUCUAUAUCAACAUCGAUAGAUCGAAGAUUGAAAAGAUCAAUGAUGACAAAAGGAGCUCUGGAUACAUAAGAUUGGCCCUCGUAGUCAUGGCCCCCGCUUCGGAUUCUGAUUAGUAGGCCCUUUUUCUUGGAGCAAAUUACAGCCGCUUGAACAUGAGAGUCAUGAAAGGGAGUAAUGAUAGCUUCUGGUUUUGAUGUUGAACUGGUCAAGAAUCUGAGGUUUUGUAUGGAAGACUGCACGACUGAGAAAUAAGCGGAACUGUGUUUGGUGAUAAUGAUUUUGCUAGAGUUAUAUUGCUGUAUGUGGGAGGCAAAACAUUGAAGAAAGCUUUCUGCAGCUGAACUUGAAGUUGUGGAACAAACUGAGUGGAAAAGGAUGAAAAGUAGAGGAAGUAGUUUCAUGUGUAAGGUCACCAUUUUGAUUUCCUCUGUACAUAUGAAAUGCAUGGGCUAUUAGCUCUCUAAUAUAUGCACUAUGACUUGGAAAAUAUGAGUUCAAAAAAAGUGACUUGGAAAAUUAGUGGAGGUGGAUUAUGUUUGUAUGUCAAUAGUGGGAGAAAAACUUAGUUGCAAUCGGAUAUCACUGUUUUGCUAUUUUUGGCCAAUUAUGUUAUGUCAUACGAAAAUAUUAUCAUGCGUGUUAUAAUGUUAUUGACCGAGAAUAACAAAACAGUGUUGUCCCAUGUUUCAUAAAAUCUUCUUCAGUGGAGGCAUAUCUCAAAAGUUAUAUAAACUUUUUCACUAUUAGGGCAUUUGCUUGAUGGACAUGGCAUUAUGUAGUCAAGAGUCAACCUUGCUUAAAAUAUCUUAGAUUAUGUGUUGUCAAGUCAUACAGCUAUAAGGUGGAAUUUAUAUAUACUUUCACGACAAAGAUAGCUAUUUUCUUUGCUCUUAAUAAUUCAUUUCCUAGCGUGCAAUGGUGAAUGGCUCAAGAUUGAACACACCAAUUCCAAUCUCUGCCACAUGAAUUGGGUUUUUUUGGUCCCACUUUCCAGGCUUCUAAUCGGUCAAUGUUUUUGUUGUAGUUACAUUUAUAUUCUUUGAAUUAUGUCCACUAGUUUGGAUCAUAUGUACUGCGGAAUAUUACUUGGCGGAUGGUUAUUGGAAGCAAAAUUCCACCAAGGACAUGUUGAGGCAGGCCGAGUUAGAAAAAAACAUAGAAUCAGGGAAUUUGGUUUGGUGCUGGCAAAUUAACUGGUCGAAUAACGCAUAUGGACAAUAGCUAGUUGCUAAAAUUUCCGUGUCUUGGUCGACUGUUGGGAGCAACCCAUUAUCAAAUUAGUUGGCUUUUUGCUGCCCAUGUGCUUCCUAUAAUAUAACUUUCUUCAAAUAAUGAGAAAAUACUAUUUGAGGCAUUUCAUCAAACACCUUGUUGGUAUUUGACCAAAAAACAAAAAAACACCUUGUUGGUAUAUGAAUGCACACGCAAUUUAAGAAAGGCAAGUGGGGCCAAAACAUCAUAAUUCACAUCAUAAUUCAAAGAAAAUCGAGGGGGGAAAAAAGGACAAGGGAAACUAUGAUAUGAACAGUAUCACAAUAACAGAAAAAUGGGUUUGAAGAUAGUUCCAAACUUUAUUCAUUGUAGGCAAUUGGGAUUGCUAAUAUUAUCAUGUAUUGAUUGUUGAAGCUCUAUUUCUUCCUAGAUGGAUACACAGGGAUGCUUUGUUCAUCCCUGAAGAAGUUACCAGGAUCAACUAAGGUCUUCACUUGAGCAAGUCUCCUGAAGUUAUUCUUGAAGUAACUGAAACCCCAAAUGCUUGCUUGUGCAUAGCUUGUAUUAGCAUCCUUGUUCCUCCCCAAGUCAAGAUCCUUGUAGUUCAAAUAGGCAGCUCUUGGGGACUUUGAAACAUAUGGUGCCAUGUAGGAAUACAGCUUUCUCAUCAUGCCAAUAUGUUUCUCAGUUUCCUUCUCAUCAUCCCAAGUGACCAUAUACUGGAUUUUGAAUAGAUUUCCACUUCUGUGUGGGAAAGGAAUUUCUGAAUUGGAAAUCUCACUCAUUUUUCCGCCAUAAGGUGUCAAUAUGAGGUAAGCCCCUACUUCAAUUAGGUUUUGCCAUAAACCUUCCAAGCCAGCUUCUGAAAUAGGUUCAUUGACAUAGUCUGAUUUUGCUUUGAAGAAGCUCUUAGAUUGUUGAGUCCUAUUGAGCAAAGCUUCUGAUUCGUUUAUUGAGAUGCUAGCAAAGUAAAGAACAGACUCGAUCCAACUCAUUUCAGUGCAAUCGCUGCGGGCUACACUUAACUCUGGAAAAUUGUCCUGCAUCAAAAGGAGAAGUUUCUCCACCGGCCCAAGAAACAAUGAACGGAAUUCAAUAACAAUAGUUUUGCCACCAUUUGUGCCAGCUUUAUCUCCAACACCUAUGACUGUAUCUAGGAAAAGGUCUUCAUGAAACUUGUCUGCAAUGUUUUGCCAUUUAGAAAGAAGUUUGGUUGCACCUUGUUCUGUGGUCUUUGAAAUUGAGAAAACUGUUACAGAUGGAGGGACAGGAACCAACCUAAGUUUCCAUGCCACAAUAACUCCGAAGCUUGAACCUCCCCCUCCUCUAAUAGCCCAAAAGAGUUCUUCUCCCAUGGAUUUUCUGUCAAGAACUCUGCCAUUAACGUCGACAAUUUUAGCAUCAAGGACAUUGUCAGCUGCCAGACCAUACUUCCUGAACAAGGUACCAAAUCCACCUCCACUAAUAAGCCCCCCCACACCCACAGUAGGACAUGACCCUGCUGGAAAUCCAUAAGCCUUACUUUUUUCUGCAAUUCUGUAAUACAACUCUCCAAGAGUAGCACCGGAUUCAACCCAAGCACUCUCAU